GGCCUCGUAGCUCAGUUGGUAGAGCGUGCGCUGUACAAAAGCGUAGCCGGCUCCCAUGAAUGGGUCCGAAUCCCCCCGCGGCUA
rnacentral:tRNA from 1 species